rnacentral:rRNA from 1 species
UACGAAGGGGGCUAGCGUUGCUCGGAAUCACUGGGCGUAAAGGGUGCGUAGGCGGGUCUUUAAGUCAGGGGGGAAAUCCUGGAGCUCAACUCCAGAACUGCCUUUGAUACUGAAGAUCUUGAGUUCGGGAGAGGUGAGUGGAACUGCGAGUGUAGAGGUGAAAUUCGUAGAUAUUCGCAAGAACACCAGUGGCGAAGGCGGCUCACUGGCCCGAUACUGACGCUGAGGCACGAAAGCGUAGGGAGCAAACAGG